rnacentral:rRNA from 3 species
CGUCCUAUUAGCUAGUUGGUGAGGCAAUGGCUCACCAAGGCUACGAUGGGUAGGGGUUCUUAGUGGAAGAUCCCCCACACUGGCACUGAGAUACGGGCCAGACUCCUACGGGAGGCAGCAGUAGGGAAUAUUGGUCAAUGGGCGAAAGCCUGAACCAGCCAUGCCGCGUGCAGGAUGACAGCUCUCUGAGUUGUAAACUGCUUUUGUACAGGAGCAAAACAAUCCCUGCGGGGGUUCUUGAGAGUACUGUAAGAAUAAGCACCGGCUAAUUCCGUGCCAGCAGCCGCGGUAAUACGGAAGGUGCAAGCGUUAUCCGGUUUUAUUGGGUUUAAAGGGUGCGUAGGCGGCUUAUUAAGUCAGUUGUGAAAUCCUAGUGCUUAACGCUAGAACUGCAAUUGAUACUAUU